AUGUCUCCUACCUCGCCGCCUCACCGCCCUCGACCUCAAAGCCGCCGCCGCGGCGCUCCGGUCGCCUCCGCCUUGGACGGUUCAGUGAGAGAGGUUAUGAGGUUCGCGGGGUGGUACCUCAAGAUCGCGGCAGUCGGAGCGACGAUAGGCGCCGCCAUGGAGCUGUUCAUGAUCCACACCGGCUUCUAUGAGAAGGUUACUGUCAUGGAGUCAGAAAAACGAGCUUGGGAAAGCAGUCCAGAGGCCCAAGCUACGAGAGAAGCCUUGAAUCCAUGGCACAAGCAUGAUGAACAACAGAGGAAAUAGUCAUAGGCUCAUGGGUCUUGUCAAGUAUUUGCAUUCACAUCCUCCACUUGUAGACCCUUGAAAGAGGAAGGAGAUGCGGAGCCGGUGGAUGAUGCUGUUGCAAGAAUGCAAUGCAAGAGGCGUGCGUGAUAUGGAGGUGAUCUUCUGGUAUCUGGCAGAUUUGCAGUGCUUGAGAGCCUUUGCUGUGCUGUAAGUUUGUUUUAGUUUGAAUAAGAAACUGUGUCCCCUCAGGGGGGAAAAUAGUAAUAAAAUAUUAUAGUGCUGUUAUAGUAGUAAACCAAGUUAAAUAGUUGUACUGCUUAAUACGUAGACGUAAUAAUAGGAUGGUUUCCUCAGGGUGUUGAUGCUACCUGGUGGCUGCUAGGAAAGAAGCUUCUAUUGUUGGUACUGUAGUUUGACAGAGAGAUUAGGUUUUAGCACCUAUCAAUCAAUCAAGGAUAAAAGAUAAAAUUAAUAUUAAAAACAGUGCAAGUGUGUGACAUUUCUCGUGCUUUUUAGAUGAGUUAUGCAGUAGUA